UUCUAGCCGCCAGCUACUACUCGAACGGAGUGAAAAGUCGGAUCCCCCCAGACCCUUCCCUCAACCCUGGGGGAGAGAGGCGACCCCUACCAUGGGAACCUAACUCCCCAGGGCCAAUGUUUGACCCGUCACCUCCCCAGAACGUGACGGCUCUGAAGGAUGACAUUGCUUACCUCCAUUGUAUCGUCCACAACAGAGGAAAUAAGACGGUGUCGUGGAUCAGGGUGUCCGACCUACACAUCCUGACAGUGGCCCAGUACACCUACACAGCUGACGACAGGUUUGAGGUAAUACACUCGCCAGACUCCAACUCUCAAUCCUGGAUAUUGAAGAUUAACUCAGUCCAACCUCGAGACUCGGGCCGCUACGAGUGUCAGGUCAACACACACCCCACUGACCCCAUCACCUUCCCCGUCUACCUGUCCGUGUUUGUGCCCACGGCCAGGAUCUUGGGGUCAGCUGAACGUUAUGUAGACAGAGGCUCGACCAUCAACCUCACUUGUAUCAUCAACUUCAACCCAGAGUCACCUACUGAGAUCUUCUGGUACCACAACAACAAGGUGAUCAACUACGACAACCGCGACAGCCGAGUGAGUGUGAUUACUGACAGAGGCUCAGUCACCAAGACCAUCCUCUUGAUCCAUGACGCCCACGACGCUGCGACUGGCACCUACUCCUGUGUGCCCUCCCUCUCCGCCACCGCCUCCGUCAGAAUACACAUCCUUAAUGAGACCCCGGCAGCUAUGCAGACCAACGCGGCCUCCAGUGUUACUAUGGGAGGCGGUCACUACUGCUGGCCACACCUUCUACCCACCAACCUACUGCUGCCUCUCCCUGCUGCUGCUGCUGCUGUUGUCAUCACCUACACCCUCACACACACCUUCACCAGUCUCAUAUAGAAGAAAGAAAUAAUGUCCCUUUGUACAUGUAGUGACAAGAAGUUUAUUGAUAUUUCUAAAACAUUUGUUUUUAUUGAGUUUGAAUAUACCAGUUUAUUACAUCUACUGGAGAUGUUUGUAGUAACUGGUACUGUUUAAAACAGGCAUUUCCUCUUUUUAACUGUAAUAAAACUAAGAGGCAAUUAUUGGCAUCAUCUAAAAUAAUCUUUGCCUUAGUUUUAAUGAAACGUCAAACAAUAGGAUAUUUUCAGCUUCUAAAUCUAAAUAAUUAUUUAAUUAAUAAUAAACUCCUAUACUUUAUUAAUGUUUUCUAAAGCAAACAUCUUUAAUUUUUUGAAAAGUUUACAGAGAAAAAAAUAUCACUCAAUAAUUGCACUUUUAAUAACAGGAGUAAAUUGUACUUUGGGGUAAAAUGAAAUAAACUGUAAAUAAAAUAACCUGACUAGAGGUAAUAUUCAAUUUUUACAAAGAAACAUGAAAAGAAGAAAAAAAAAACAGAUUUUUUUCGUAAUUGUUUACCCAAAUGUCCAUAGUUUCUUUUGUCCAUUAAUAUAAUUGUAUGAUCAUAUGUUUAGAAGAAUAACUUGUGUAUAUAUAAUGUUAGUUAAGGAGAGAGAGAGCGAGAGAGAGAGAGAGAGAGAGAGAGAGAGAUCUCCCCACUGGACCUAAUAUUUUGCAGAGGGUUCAGAGAGACAUCCUUCCCCUGAACAAACGUCUAGAAAUAAGUAAACGUUCAUCGUCUGUUCAUUUGUAGUGUUAAUUCCUGAUAUUAUUAUUACCAUUAUAAUUGUUUGUGAAAAGACGCCCCCAGGUGGUCCUCGACAUACACGUCACUAUGGGAGACGCCCCCAGGUGGUCCUCGACAUACACGUCACUAUGAGAGACGCCCCCAGGUGGUCCUUGACAUACACGUCACUAUGAGAGACGCCCCCAGGUGGUCCUCGACAUACACGUCACUAUGAGAGACGCCCCCAGGUGGUCCUUGACAUACACGUCACUAUGAGAGACGCCCCCAGGUGGUCCUCGACAUACACGUCACUAUGAGAGACGCCCCCAGGUGGUCCUCGACAUACACGUCACUAUGAGAGACGCCCCCAGGUGGUCCUCGACAUACACGUCACUAUGGGAGACGCCCGGGUGACUCAUCUCACACUAGUGAGGUCGGCUGUAGUGAUUUAAUAAUUGUACAAACAAAUGUAAAUACAUGAUGGUGCAGUUUUAUCCUGGGUUUUGAUUUUUAGUAACUGUGGGUGUCAGUUGUGAAGGUUGUCAGAGGUAAAGUAAUGAUUUGGUAAAAAAAAAUGCUAAGUGGAAGUCAUUGAUCAAGUGAGCUGUUCAAGAGGUAAGAGUUGGUCCCUAUGGUCGCGGGGAAUGUUCAUUGUUCAUAAAGGAGAGAUGUGAGGUACAGUCAGCUAAAGAUCCACCGACCCCCAUCCUGGGUCUCGUACGCGUAAUUUUACCUGGCAAUACUUGGUAAAGGAAGGCU